CGCUACAUCAUUCAAGGAAAUUCGUCGUAGAGGUCUUUCUCUUUACCAGAUUUCGUAGCUGAAGUUUAUGAAGUAAUCAAACCGGUGUUAACUUCUUAUAUAAAGGUAGAUUCCCAAACUUUGAAGAAACACUACAGUACUGGGGUAAUUGAAUGUUGUAAGGCAGAGCAUCGGGCUUUCCAGAGCCAAGGUAUCUUCUUCGAUAACAAGGUAAGGAUAGUCCUGAUACUACCUUUCUUUUGUUAUUGAAGUUUAUUGUUCCUUUUGUUGGGGGCUUGGUGGUUGUGCACCUAUAUUGAUUUGUACUUCUGUUAAUUAAUUAUAGUCAUUCUCUCUUGUCUGAGUAAUUAUUGUCAACCAUUUUGUUAGCAAAGGCUUCCCAUGGAUAUUCAGUUUGUUGUGCUGCAUGUCCACGAUGAUUUUCGUGAUUUUAGUUCUAGAUACAUAAAAAGGGCCUUUGCAUCACGACAUGAAUGACUAUUUUUUAAUAUGAACCUACAAUGCCCCAAAUGAAUGCUGGAUUAAAUUAGAUACAGGGUAGAUAGAGAGUG